GAUGAACGCUGGCGGCGUGCCUAAUACAUGCAAGUCGAGCGAACGGACGAGAAGCUUGCUUCUCUGAUGUUAGCGGCGGACGGGUGAGUAACACGUGGAUAACCUACCUAUAAGACUGGGAUAACUUCGGGAAACCGUAGCUAAUACCGGAUAAUAUUUUGAACCGCAUGGUUCAAAAGUGAAAGACGGUCUUGCUGUCACUUAUAGAUGGAUCCGCGCUGCAUUAGCUAGUUGGUAAGGUAACGGCUUACCAAGGCAACGAUGCAUAGCCGACCUGAGAGGGUGAUCAGCCACACUGGAACUGAGACACGGUCCAGACUCCUACGGGAGGCAGCAGUAGGGAAUCUUCCGGAAUGGGCGAAAGCCUGACGGAGCAACGCCGCGUGAGUGAUGAAGGUCUUCGGAUCGUAAAACUCUGUUAUUAGGGAAGAACAUAUGUGUAAGUAACUGUGCACAUCUUGACGGUACCUAAUCAGAAAGCCACGGCUAACUACGAG
rnacentral:rRNA from 1 species